CCAGCGACGCCCGCAGCCUCGGCUCUCUGGCCCUGAUAGAAAUUCAAUCAGAAAGUUCAGAAAAGCGGUUUCGCUGUGGAAAAUGUUGAGAGCAUUGCGGUGGCGGCAGAGCUAAUGGUCUGACCUCGAAGGUGAUGUAGUACUGCAUCUGGUGGAUGAAGUGAACCAUUUCAGAGGCCAGGAUGUGACACUGGUGCAGCACACCAGAGAGCUCUGGAGGGCGAGAGAGGACAGAUCAAACCGAGUCUGGAUCAAUGAAUUCUGGCUAAGAAGAACCGGUCUGGCCUCCGCAGUCAGAAGGGCAGAAGGACG